AUUGAACGCUGGCGGCAGGCCUAACACAUGCAAGUCGAACGGUAACAGGAAGAAGCUUGCUUCUUUGCUGACGAGUGGCGGACGUGUGAGUAAUGUCUGGGAAACUGCCUGAUGGAGGGGGAUAACUACUGGAAACGGUAGCUAAUACCGCAUAACGUCGCAAGACCAAAGAGGGGGACCUUCGGGCCUCUUGCCAUCGGAUGUGCCCAGAUGGGAUUAGCUAGUAGGUGGGGUAACGGCUCACCUAGGCGACGAUCCCUAGCUGGUCUGAGAGGAUGACCAGCCACACUGGAACUGAGACACGGUCCAGACUCCUACGGGAGGCAGCAGUGGGGAAUAUUGCACAAUGGGCGCAAGCCUGAUGCAGCCAUGCCGCGUGUAUGAAGAAGGCCUUCGGGUUGUAAAGUACUUUCAGCGGGGAGGAAGGGAGUAAAGUUAAUACCUUUGCUCAUUGACGUUACCCGAAGAAGAAGCACCGGCUAACUCCGUG
rnacentral:rRNA from 1 species